ACGAACGCUGGCGGCGUGCUUAACACAUGCAAGUCGAACGGAAAGGCCCCUUUGGGGGUACUCGAGUGGCGAACGGGUGAGUAACACGUGAGUAACCUGCCCUUGACUUCGGGAUAACUUCAGGAAACUGGGGCUAAUACCGGAUAGGAAUCCUUGCUGCAUGGUGGGGGUUGGAAAGCUUCGGCGGUUUUGGAUGGACUCGCGGCUUAUCAGCUUGUUGGUGGGGUAGUGGCUUACCAAGGCUUUGACGGGUAGCCGGCCUGAGAGGGCGACCGGCCACAUUGGGACUGAGAUACGGCCCAGACUCCUACGGGAGGCAGCAGUGGGGAAUAUUGCACAAUGGGCGGAAGCCUGAUGCAGCAACGCCGCGUGCGGGAUGACGGCCUCCGGGUUGUAAACCGCUUUCAGCAGGGGCGAAGCUUGUGGUGACGGUACCUGCAGAAGAAGCACCGGCUAACUACGUG
rnacentral:rRNA from 1 species